GGAAUAUUGGUCAAUGGGCGAGAGCCUGAACCAGCCAUGCCGCGUGCAGGAAGACGGCCUUCUGGGUUGUAAACUGCUUUUCUACAGGACGAACAAGACUAUGCGUAGUCAAUUGCCGGUAUUGUAGGAAUCAGCACCGGCUAACUCCUGGCCCGCAGCCGCGGUAAUACGGAGGGUGCAAGCGUUGUCCGGAUUUAUUGGGUUUAAAGGGUGCGUAGGCGGACCUUUAAGUCCGUGGUGAAAGCCCGCAGCUUAACUGUGGAAUUGCCAUGGAUACUGGAGGUCUUGAAUUCAGUUGAGGUAGGCGGAAUUGAUGGUGUAGCGGUGAAAUGCAUAGAUACCAUCAGGAACACCGAUUGCGAAGGCAGCUUACUGGGCUUGAAUUGACGCUGAGGCACGAAAGCGUGGGGAGCG
rnacentral:rRNA from 1 species